ensembl:lncRNA
UACUGACUGACUGACUGUACCCACUGGAAGUAGGAUAUAGCACCUACUGACUGACUGACUGUACCAGCUGGAUGUGGGAUCUAGCACCUACUGACUGACUGACUGUACCAGCUGGACAUCGGAUCUAGCACCUACUGACUGACUGACUGUACCAGCUGAAUGUGGAAUCUAGCACCUACUGACUGACUGACUACUGGAUGUGGGAUCUAGCAGCUACUGACUGACUGUACCAGCUGGACUUGGGAUAUAACACCUACUGACUGACUGUACCGGCUGGAUGUGGGAUCUAGCACCUACUGACUGACUGACUGUACCAGCUAGACAUGGGAUAUAACAUCUACUGACUUACUGACUGUACCGGAUGGAUGUGGGAUCUAGCACCUACUGACUGACUGACUGUACCAGCUGAAUGUGGAAUCUAGCACCUACUGACUGACUGACUACUGGAUGUGGGAUCUAGCAGCUACUGACUGACUGUACCAGCUGGACUUGGGAUAUAACACCUACUGACUGACUGUACCAGCUGGACUUGGGAUAUAACACCUACUGACUGACUCUUCCAGCUGAGGAUGGGAUCUAUCACGUACUGACUGAGUGUACCAGCUGAGGAUGGGAUCUAGCCCUAACUCUGACUGACUGUACCAGAUGAGGACAGGAUCUAGCACGUACUGACUGACUGUGCCAGCUGAUUAAAUCACUUACUGACUGUACCAGCUGAUUACAUAACUGACUGACUCUACCAGCUGGCACGGCGAUGGGAUCUAACACCUACUAACUGUCUGACUGACGGACUUUCUGACCGACUGUCUGACUGAUUAGCUGGCUGACUGGCUAGGCUGACUGGCUAGGCUGACUGACUGACUGACUGACUGACUGGCUGGCUGGCUGGCUGGCUGGCUGGCUGGCUGACUUCCUGACUGAUUGGCUGGCUGGCUGACUGGCUGGCUGAUUGGCUGGCUGACUGAUUGGCUGAUUGGCUGGCUGGCUGACUGGCUGGCUGACUGGCUGGCUGGCUGACUGAUUGGCUGGCUGAUUGGCUGGCUGGCUGACUGGCUGGCUGACUUCCUGACUGAUUGGCUGGCUGGCUGACUGACUGGCUGACUGUCCUUCCAUUGCCUUCUCUCCCCGGGGAUUCAGACGGGAAAACAAAGCCAGAGAACUUGAACCAACUGUAAUGUAACUAGUUAAAGCAGGCGACACACUUGAGUCUGUCUGUCUGUCUGUCUGUUAAAGUCAUGAUUAUUCAAUACUACCAUAAUUAUAUUAUUCUAUUGAUCUGUUAUAGUCAUGAUUAUUCAAUACCACCAUAAUUAUAUUAUUCUGUUGAUAUUGUUGGGGUUGUGAACGUACAGUACAGUAAGAGACUAUUGUUUGUGGAUACUGUACUUUUUAAAGACGAAGCUGAGAACACUGCUGCUACCUGACGGUGACUGUAACAUUAGGUCUGUACGGUGCCCAUAUUAGGACAGCGUCAGUCUCAGCAGGCGUUAUUAGGUCCUGAUCAGACUGAGGAUGUCCUAAUACAGACACCAUAGGUGUGUUAUUUAAUGAUGGUCUGCAUUCCAAAUGGCACCUUGUUCCCUUUGUAGCUGAACUAUUGUUGACCAGAGCCUACGGUGUUGACCAGGUCCUACAGUGUUGACCAGGGCCUACAGUGUUGACCAGAGCCUACGGUGUUGACCAGGUCCUACAGUGUUGACCAGGGCCUACAGUGUUGACCAGGGCCUACAGUGUUGACCAGAGCCUACGGUGUUGACCAGGUCCUACAGUGUUGACCAGGGCCUACAGUGUUGACCAGGGCCUACGGUGUUGACCAGGUCCUACAGUGUUGACCAGGUCCUACGGUGUUACCAGGGCCUACAGUGUUGACCAGAGCCUACGGUGUUGACCAGGUCCUACGGUGUUGACCAGGACCCACAGUGUUGACCAGGUCCUACGGUGUUGACCAGGGCCUACAGUGUUGACCAGGGCCUACGGUGUUGACCAGGUCCUACAGUGUUGACCAGGGCCUACAGUGUUGACCAGAGCCUACGGUGUUGACCAGGUCCUACGGUGUUGACCAGGACCCACAGUGUUGACCAGGUCCUACGGUGUUGACCAGGGCCUACAGUGUUGACCAGGGCCUACGGUGUUGACCAGGUCCUACAGUGUUGACCAGGGUCUACAGUGUUGACCAGGGUCUACAGUGUUGACCAGGGCCUACAGUGUUGACCAGGGCCUACGGCUGCUGGUGUUGACCAGAUGCUACGGCUGCUGGUGUUGACCAGAUCCUACGGCUGCUGGUGUUGACCAGGUCCUACGGCUGCUGGUGUUGACCAGAUCCUACGGCUGCUGGUGUUGACCAGGUCCUACGGCUGCUGGUGUUGACCAGGUCCUACGGCUGCUGGUCAACAUAGUGUACUCUAUGGGGAACAGGAUGCCAUGUGGAACACAGCCCCUAUUGAAGACCUUUCUAGCUAUGUUGGUUCUGUUGUUUGUGCACGGAAAUGGAAUUAAAUACAACAAGGGCACGUUUUUGUUAUUUUUCAACAUAAUAUAUUUUGCACUGAGACACAAAAAUGUGUUAAUACUGUACAUUUUGUUUUUAGAUGCGUGUAUAAAGCCUCACCAGUGCCACAUAGUUCAAAUGUAUAAAAUAUUGUUGUACUGUGGAAUGUUAAUAGUCUUUUGGAUUGCAAUGUAUUGCCUUUACACACAGUCUGCUGGUUGUCAACACUAUAGGCCAUAAAGGAGGGGCAUCUGACUGCUAUAGAAUUACCGGCCAUAAAGGAGGGGCAUCUGACUGCUAUAGAAUUACCGGCCAUAAAGGAGGGGCAUCUGACUGCUAUAGAAUUACCGGCA